rfam:Choanephora cucurbitarum strain KTS-F28377 scaffold_468, whole genome shotgun sequence.
GGUUCCAUAGUCUAGUUGGUUAUGGCAUCGCCUUUACACGGCGAAGGUCUUCGGUUCGAUCCCGGAUGGAAUCA